GACGAACGCUGGCGGCGUGCCUAACACAUGCAAGUCGAACGGAACUGUUUUGAAAGUUUUCUUCGGAAUGAAUUUGAUUUAGUUUAGUGGCGGACGGGUGAGUAACGCGUGAGUAACCUGCCUUCAAGAGGGGAAUAACAUUCUGAAAAGAAUGCUAAUACCGCAUGACAUAUCGGAACCACAUGGUUUUGAUAUCAAAGAUUUUAUCGCUUGAAGAUGGACUCGCGUCCGAUUAGUUAGUUGGUGAGGUAACGGCUCACCAAGACCGCGAUCGGUAGCCGGACUGAGAGGUUGAACGGCCACAUUGGGACUGAGACACGGCCCAGACUCCUACGGGAGGCAGCAGUGGGGGAUAUUGCGAAAUGGGGGCAACCCUGACGCAGCAACGCCGCGUGAAGGAUGAAGGUUUUCGGAUUGUAAACUUCUUUUAUUAAGGACGAAAAAUGACGGUACUUAAUGAAUAAGCUCCGGCUAACUACGUG
rnacentral:rRNA from 1 species